GGACGAACGCUGGCGGCGUGCCUAACACAUGCAAGUCGAACGAAGCACUGCGGAAAGAGACUUCGGUCAAUGGAAGCUUUGACUUAGUGGCGGACGGGUGAGUAACGCGUGAGGAACCUGCCUCAAAGAGGGGGGACAACAGUUGGAAACGACUGCUAAUACCGCAUAAGCCCACGACCUGGCAUCGGGUAGAGGGAAAAGGAGCAAUCCGCUUUGAGAUGGCCUCGCGUCCGAUUAGCUAGUUGGUGAGGUAAUGGCCCACCAAGGCGACGAUCGGUAGCCGGACUGAGAGGUUGAACGGCCACAUUGGGACUGAGACACGGCCCAGACUCCUACGGGAGGCAGCAGUGGGGAAUAUUGCACAAUGGGGGAAACCCUGAUGCAGCGACGCCGCGUGGAGGAAGAAGGUCUUCGGAUUGUAAACUCCUGUUGUUGAGGAAGAUAAUGACGGUACUCAACAAGGAAGUGACGGCUAACUACGUG
rnacentral:rRNA from 1 species